AUAUAGAGUAGCCUUUACAUCUGGUACUAAUAUCCACGGAAGGGAAAAAUAUAUAGACAUAACGUUUUACAUCUGGUUCUAAUAUCACCAGAAACAAAACUGAACGCGGUGGCAAUAUUGUAAUUAUGGCGAAAAUGAUCUAAAAUAAAUAUAUAUCUGACCAUAUUUAGAGUCAGAUGUAAGAUGUCAUGUUGAGUAAAAAAAAAAAAAAAAUUGGACAAACUGUGUUAAGUGCUUAAGUGAGAAACGCGUACGAUUCAUAUACAUCUUCGCAAACAAACCCUCAAGAACAGUCAACAACACUCACGCGAUUUUCCCAAAUCCUCAAGAACAACAAACUCUCAAUUCCUCUCUCGAUUCGAAACUCUCUCAAUCACGACAAUCCCUCACUCUCACUCGUCCUCUCUCACUCGUUCUCUCAAUUUCGUCAUCUCUCUCGGUGGUUCGCGAACCCUAGGUCCCAAAUCGAAGGUGGGUGAAACAAAUUGAAGCUUCUCUCAAAUCGUUCUUUCUCCCAACAACUGAAAACACAAACAGGUAUGGAUCGUAGUUGGAUGAAAGCUAGUAGAUUAAGUGCCGAGUUUGAACAGGGAGUGAUUGAAUUUCUUCGAUUUGAUGAAAUCAAUCUUCCAAUUUGUCUUCAGGCCUUUCCACCAGACUCACCAUUAGCGGUUGACCUGUCAACUGCCAUUUUGGAGUUGGCAGAAAAUCGAGAUUUACAAAGAAUCCAUGACAAAUGGCUUUUGAGCAGUGCUUGUCGAUCACAAGGUGCAAAGCUUGAAGUGGAUAGACUCAAUCUCAGAUGCUAUAGUAUCGCUUUCUUGUACAUUGGUUGGGGACUAGAUGGCUCAGUUUGGAUUGUAUUAGAGUUGAAAGGGAGGAAUGAGGAUUGUGUACAUUUUGAGGUUUUACAACCUGGUCAUUUUGAGGUUUUGUAGAAGGUAUACAUUACAUGGAUCUCGGAGGCUAUUUCGAUCAACCCUUUAUGAUCAUAUAGUUUUGAGGAAUGCAUUGUGCUUUCAUGAGAUAUCCAGCCUUCAUGGAGGAUAGAACAACAUGUUUUAGAGGUCUUGUUAAUAUUUUUUCCAUUUGGCAGCAACUUGUUGACAAAAGUUUAAUACAUGUAUGUUUUCACAAAUGAGAGGAAGAAUUGAACUAUAUUUCAAGCAGAACAAACUUAGUAAAGAAGCAUGUCAGGGAUAUACUUCAGGUCAAUAUCUUGUUAAAAUUGCAAUAAUAGGUUCUAGGAACAUGUGCUUUGGACUUGAUUUCUUGACAGCACAAGAUGUUGUGUUUUUGGAGCUACCUCAGUACUCAACUUUGAUGCUUCAAGUUCUGUUCAAUGGGAGCUACCUCGUCCACUUACUGCCUAUUAAAACUUUGUUGAUGUUUAAAUUUUUCUAGUGCUUUUAAAGUUCAUCAAUUGGCAACUUUUGGUAAUAAAAAGAAGGCUACAUGGAUUUUUCCCAAAGUUGUUCAAUUCCUUUUGGCAUGUCGUGAGCGUCUGAGUUCAGAAGACUUCAGCAAAAAAUCUGAGAGUAGCCCAACAGAUUCACAGAAGCUGGAUCCAAUCCAAGUAAAUUUUCACUAUCACAGAAGCUGGAUCCAAUGCUUCCUGAAGGUGUUCGAUGAUCCCAUGUCAUUAACCGAGGAGGAGCUGUAUGAAUUGCGAAACAGCUGGGCUACUUGUUUUCUUGACCUGUACAAUCCCGAGGUAGAUUAUGAUGUUGCCGAUGAUGAGGCUUAGGAGCUAGCUAGGUUAAUUUGUGUGAUGUUACAAUGGAUUCACAUUAAUUAGGAUGUUUUGAAUUGUAAUGACUUGUAUUUUGCUUGAAUGUUAUAACAUUUUAGA